rnacentral:rRNA from 1 species
GUGGGGAAUCUUGCGCAAUGGGCGAAAGCCUGACGCAGCCAUGCCGCGUGAAUGAUGAAGGUCUUAGGAUUGUAAAAUUCUUUCACCGGGGACGAUAAUGACGGUACCCGGAGAAGAAGCUCCGGCUAACUUCGUGCCAGCAGCCGCGGUAAUACGAAGGGGGCUAGCGUUGCUCGGAAUUACUGGGCGUAAAGGGCGCGUAGGCGGACAGCUUAGUCAGAGGUGAAAGCCCAGGGCUCAACCUUGGAAUUGCCUUUGAUACUGGCUGUCUUGAGUUUGGGAGAGGUGAGUGGAACUCCGAGUGUAGAGGUGAAAUUCGUAGAUAUUCGGAAGAACACCAGUGGCGAAGGCGACUCACUGGCUCGAUACUGACGCUGAGGUGCGAAAGCGUGGGGAGCAAACAGGAUUAGAAACCCGAGUAGUCC